rnacentral:ribozyme from 1 species
GAAAAGAAAAAGAGACUACAUGCACCUUUGCAUGACUGUCUUGGUGUGCCUCUCAGGAAGAACGUUCUCCCGUAUGUAUUUUCUCCUUCCCUUUUUUGGGUUCUUUUUCUGACUUGAAAAAGGACAUGAAAGGCGGCAUGUACAGAACGAAACGGUGUGACCAUGAAAGAAAUAAACAGCGAAGAGAAAAGAGAAUGAAUGCAUUUUUUUCGUUCUCCAAUCUCGUGUAGCCGAGAAGAGGAAAGCGAAAGAAAGAAA